UAGAAGAUACAAAGAUUCCCCACAAUCCCUAACAAGGAAGGACAAAGACGGUGUUCCUGUACGUCUAAAUGGGAAAACACGUGUGGUUACACAUACACCUUAAUGUGGUGAUAUGUGUGGUUUCAUUCGAAUUUUGCAAAGCAGUCUAUUCUUUGAUCUUCUAAUUCCAAUUCUUUGAAUCUGUCUCAGAGAUAAAACUACUGAUGUAAGUACAAGGAUGUUUUAUUGCAGCAGAGUUUGAUAAAUAAUAAAUAAAAGGGAGAUGGGAUUGGCCAUCUGUGGGAGACAGAUGGAAUAUAUUUUCCUUCAUUAACACUGUUCAGCCUCAGAAAAGAAUGUUCAGUCUAUCCCAGUCGACUUGGAAGUUUUUGCUCUGAAAGGUGUGCUCUAUGCAUUUCUUACGUAACAAACAGUAACUCCCAAGCUGCAGCUGUUCCUGCUUGACGGUACAGAAAGGAAUCAGGUGUGGAAGGACCCAGGAAGGAAGGGGAGAAAAAAAGCGACUCUAGCAAAAUGCAGAAAUACACAGAUCAAAAACUAAACAGAAAAUGUGGACAGCAGACCUUGCCCCUUUGAAAUGCGGCGCAGCGCAGCUCCGUGGGUUUCGCUGGCUCCUGGCCCAAGGAGUCCCCGCUUCGACCGAACUCUCAUCCUCCUGCAGCAGCUGUCGGUGAUGCUCCCACUUCAUCUUCAGGAUCUUGUCAGGGGAAGGCACGAAAGCCAGGAUUCUUUUAAAUACAUACCAGAAGGUGUCUUUGAAUGAAAAUUCUUAAUUUAGCAAGACUUAGAAAGAUGGUAUCUAUAGUACUGUAUCAAUUUUUAAAAAGGGCAACCAAAAAAACAAUUACAAAAAAGAAAACAGAAUAAAGAAAGACAGCCAGAUAUACUGCCUCCUGAGCGAAUCCUGGAAGCAGCAAAUGUCACAUUUGUAAUGAACAGUUUUCUAGUAGGGGCUUCCCUCAUGGUCCAGGGGCUAAGACUCUGUGCUCACAAUGCAAAGGGUCCCGGUUGGGCACUAGAUCCCACAUGCCUCAACUAAAGACACCGCAUGCCUCUGCUAGACCUGGUGCAGCCAAAUAAAU
rnacentral:lncRNA from 1 species